rnacentral:rRNA from 1 species
GACGAACGCUGGCGGCGUGCUUAACACAUGCAAGUCGAACGAUGAAGCCGGAGCUUGCUCUGGUGAAUUAGUGGCGAACGGGUGAGUAACACGUGAGUAACCUGCCCUUGACUCUGGGAUAACUGCUAGAAAUGGUAGCUAAUACCGGAUACGACCCUCGGCGGCAUCGCCAGGGGGUGGAAGGAAUUUCGGUCAAGGAUGGACUCGCGGCCUAGCAGCUAGUUGGUGAGGUAACGGCUCACCAAGGCGACGACGGGUAGCCGGCCUGAGAGGGUGACCGGCCACACUGGGACUGAGACACGGCCCAGACUCCUACGGGAGGCAGCAGUGGGGAAUAUUGCACAAUGGGCGCAAGCCUGAUGCAGCAACGCCGCGUGAGGGAUGGCGGCCUUCGGGUUGUAAACCUCUUUUAGUAGGGAAGAAGCGAAAGUGACGGUACCUGCAGAAAAAGCACCGGCUAACUGCGUGCCAGCCGCCGCUGUAA